GUGCAAUUUUAUAGAAUGUCUUGACUUAAAUAGCUUGAUUCUGGUACGUAAUUGCAAGAGAAAUUUGGGUUUUUUGCUUGCCUCGUUGCUUUCGAUUCACUGAACAACGUAGGCCAAUGAAAACCUGGACAAUA
rnacentral:snoRNA from 1 species